rnacentral:rRNA from 1 species
UGGGGAAUCUUCCGCAAUGGGCGAAAGCCUGACGGAGCAACGCCGCGUGAGUGAUGACGGCCUUCGGUUGUAAGCUCUGUGAUCGGGGACGAACGGUCAGCAGACGAAUACUCUGCUGAAGUGACGGUACCCGAAUAGCAAGCCACGGCUAACUACGUGCCAGCAGCCGCGGUAAUACGUAGGUGGCAAGCGUUGUCCGGAUUUACUGGGUGUAAAGGGCGUGCAGCCGGGAAUGCAAGUCAGAUGUGAAAUCCAUGGGCUUAACCCAUGAACUGCAUUUGAAACUGUAUUUCUUGAGUACUGGAGAGGCAAUCGGAAUUCCUAGUGUAGCGGUGAAAUGCGUAGAUAUUAGGAGGAACACCAGUGCGAAGGCGA